GAUAAACGCUGGCGGCGUGCCUAAUGCAUGCAAGUCGAACGGGAGCGUCUUCGGGCGUCGACCGUGGCGGACGGGUGAGGAAUACGUAGCUAACCUGCCCCGACCCGGGGGAUAGUCGCCGGAAACGGCGCGCAAUACCCCAUGGGCUCCGCGCGAGGGAUCGCGCGGAGCAAAAGGUCGCAAGACCGGGCUGGGAGGGGGCUGCGGCGGAUUAGCUAGUUGGCGGGGUAACGGCCCACCAAGGCGAGAUCCGUAGCUGGUCUGAGAGGACGAUCAGCCACACGGGGGACUGAGACACGGCCCCGACUCCUACGGGAGGCAGCAGCAAGGAAUUUUUCCACAAUGGGCGCAAGCCUGAUGGAGCAACGCCGCGUGCAGGAUGAA
rnacentral:rRNA from 1 species